GGUAAGGGUAAGCGAAAGAAGGGGGGAGUAACACAGUGUUGGUUGUUAAUAUCUUAUAUGUUAUGAUAGCUAUCUUCCAGCACAGGAUAGGGAGGAAAUAAUGAGUGUUUUUACUUUUCAAUAGAUUCUUUCAUUAGAUAGAAUUAUCCUAUUUUGGAAUAUAAGAGCAAAAGACAAGCAUAUUGUGGAAUAUAAGAGCAAAAGAAAAGUCAUCAAUCAUAAGAAAUAGAUUCCCGCCUCGCCUGUGCUUCGUAUCAUAAGAAUUGGCGCUUGCUUUCUUAUCCAGUGCUUCGUAUCUGAUCGCGCUAUAGGGGAUUCGGUACCGCAAUAAUAGGUCUUUCUGUCUGCCUAACAAAAGAGAAAUGGCCGUAAGUCUACUUAGUUCAUUCAUGCUCAUAAGAUUCUACAAGGGCCAAGCAACUAAGCGCCAAGCAACUACGCAAGUCCUGUAUACUUGACUGGUAAGAAAGAGCUGCUGUUAAGAACUGGAACACUUGUGUAUGUACUAUUACCUUCUCUUAGCGUGCACAGUUGCAUGCUGCCUUAGGCAUAUAUCUCUUUCUUAGUUUGUUUCAAGCUUUCCUUAUAAGUUAGUUAGUUUCUUCCUUAUAAGUAAUAUAUCUCUUUCUUAGUUUGUUUCAAGCUUUCCUUAGAAGUUAGUUAGUUUCUUCCUUAUAAGUAAUAUAUCUCUUUCUUAGUUUGUUUCAAGCUUUCCUUAGAAAGUUAGUGUUUAGUAAUGAAUAAAUGUUGUGUAUGUUUCGUCUAUAAGCAAUUCUUUUGUAGUAACACGGAAAGGCAGGCAACUCUUACACCCUAACUCGUGGAAAGUGAGGCCCGCUCGGGCGGCUUCUUAUUGGAUUCCUAGUGUCUACUUUCACUGGUCAAUCAAUCUUUCUUUAUUUCGUCAUGGCACUAAAGAAUCGAUAAAGUAUGUUAGCAUGCAUCACUCAUUACUAUUCGGUACUAAAGGAGAUGGAAAAGCCAGUAUCCGCAGAGCCAGCCUAUAAAGUAGAGUAGGUCCCCUGUAGCAGAUGGAAAUCCAAUGCUAAAGUAAGUGGUGACUUCAGCUGCUAAAUAGGCACAUAUAGUUAACAAGUAAUGUACUUCGGGUGGGAGAGCAUAUAUUCAUUCGGUACUCUCAAGGUCCAAUUGGCAUUCAAAGAGGUUCAUCGCCUCACUUCUCCAAGCGCCGGAUAUUAGGAUAUUUAGUACUCUGAUUUGAGUACUCUGAUUUGGAUUAGGUUAGGAACCAUUUGCUGUUACCUGCAUUGCGAAUUCUUAGGCUAGGUUCCCGUCCCCACUUUCUCCAUUUUAGGGUUAGGGUCCAAGCAACUAGGCGUGGAAAGCAUAUCCCUUACUCGCAUUCGCCUAAUCGAGCAGAAGGCCACUCGGUGAUCAUCCUAUAACUGGCUAGAGUGAGUGUCACAUUACCUAUAACAGGCUAGUUUGAAUGCAGUAAUUAAGGGCACAGGUUUCUAUGGUUCUAUUUAGUCCUGAUUGAUGAGGGUUGUCAAAGACCGGAUCUUUGCACUUCGCAACCCUAUCAGAGUAUGUGCUUAGUGCAAGGCCUCAUAGAAGUUAUAGGUAAUGUAGUAAUACGAGCUCCGGCCCUCAUCUCAUACAAAAUCAACAAGUUAAUGGAUGUUCCCAGUAUUUUCUUGGACCCGAUCACUUUCACCUUUGAUAGAUCAUGGCGGUUUAGUUGGUUUGGGAAGUUUAGUUGAGACUGGGCACGUGCGUCAUCAAAAUGGAAAAGGUAAAGAAGAGAUGGAGGCUCGAAGAGAGGAGAGCCAUUUGCAUCGACCGCUCCUGACGCCAUGAAUACCAAUAACAGUACAAGUAUGGAUCGCCUCUAUAUUGUGUGGGUGUUUCUACUAUUUCUUCAAGCUAUGGAAAAUAAUGCGUAUUGUAUGCCAUUCUCCCAUCAUACUUUCGUUGGAAAACCCAACGCCAAGUCAAACAAUUUGUCUCCUUUCACUUUUCGGGAGCAGAGCAGUAAAAGAAUAGCAAUUCUCAAUAAUGGAAGAGUUCUUCUGGGGAUGUGACAUAUAUCAAACCAAGGAAAUACAAAGUAAGCAAAUAGACGCUACAAUACUCAUGGAAAAAAUCGACUAUAAGAAUGACUUACUAAUGGAUAAAAUACACUAUCAAAAUGAUGAAGUACAAAGUGAGCAAAUAUACUCUCUUCCCCAUUUGAAGGAAAUAACAAGAUUGAGUGCGGAAAUGAGGAUACAGGACUGCAACAGCUUAAGCCCACUUGAGCAAUUUACCAUUCACCCAUUAAUUCUGAUUCGUGGGGGCAACUAUUAUUUCUCAUUCACAAAUCCAUCCUUGUCUCUGCUGCUCACUCUCGGUUUGGUCCUACUUCUGCUUUUUUUGGUUACGAAAAAGGGAGGGGGAAAGUCAGUGCCAAAUGCUUGGCAAUCCUUGGUAGAGCUUCUUUAUGAUUUCGUGCUUAACCCAGUAAACGAACAAAUAGGUGGUCGAAAUGUGAACCAAAAGUUUUUCCCUUGCAUCUCGGUCACUUUGACUUUUUCGUUAUUUUGUAAUCCCCAGGGUAUGAUACCCUAUAGUUUCACAGUUACAAGUCAUUUUCUCAUUACUUUGACUCUAUCAUUUUCUCUUGUUAUAGGCAUUACGAUCGUUGGAUUUCAAAGACAUGGGCUUCAUUUUUUGAGCUUCUCAUUACCAGCAGGAGUCCCACUACCGUUAGCACCUUUUUUAGUACUCCUUGAGCUAAUCCCUCAUUGUUUUCGUGCAUUAAGCUCAGGAAUACGUUUAUUUGCUAAUAUGAUGGCCGGUCAUAGUUCAGUGAAGAUUUUAAGUGGGUCUGCUUGGACUAUACUAUUAUUGAAUAAUGUAUUCUAUUUCAUAGGAGAUCCUGGUCCUUUCUUUAUAGUUCUUGCAUUAACCGGUCCGGAAUUAGGUGUAGCUAUAUUACAAGCUCAUGUUUCUACGAUCUCAAUCUGUAUUUACUUGAAUGAUGCUACAAAUCUCCAUCAAUAUUAGUUCUUUCAUAAUUGAAUCAAAAUGAGGAGCCGGGCAACUGCUAUGCUUUUGCAGCUCAUUUACAUUACUUGGAUUGGAGAGCUAUCAACUAUCCUUUUGGAAGCGGAUAGUAUACAGUGCUAAUUCUCCAAAAUACAU
rnacentral:lncRNA from 1 species